UCUUAAGAAAGUAAUUUUAAAGGAUUAAUUGUUUUAGUAUAAAUAUGUGAAUAAAUUUUUGUAAUGAUAGUUAAUUAGUACCGAGGGGGAAUAUUGAAAUAUAUGAAAAUUAUUUUGGUAAAAAGCAGGCUUAAUAUUGUACCUUGUGUAUCAGGGUUUAUUAAAUUAAUAAUAUGAAUUUAUUAUUCCCGAAUUAAGAAGAGCUAAUAUAUUAUAUUAGUUAAUGUGGAAUAAUUAUUAAUAAUAAUAUGUUUGUAAUGAAAUGUUUUCGAUUCUUAAGGUAUCUGGUUUUUCAAGAAAUAAAUUUAAUUUAGCUUAAAUUUUGUAUAUAUUUUAUUGGUAAAUUUAUUAUAAAAUUUAAGUAAUGGUUUGGGGGAUAAGCUCUGAAUUAAUAAAUUAUAAAUUUUUAGUGGAGUAAAAUUAAUUGUAAGCUUUAAAUUAGCUAUCAAUUGGGAAAUUGUUAUAAAUUAUUAUGCACUUCAGGUGAUUUAUUAAAAAUUUUAAUUUGUUUAUUGAAAUGUCUUAGAGAACAGUCUUAUAAGAGUAAUUAUGAUAAAAUUAGUAUAUUUUGAAUUUGUUGAAAAUUUUUAAAUUUUUAGUAAUUUAUAUAAAGGAACUCGGCAAAUAUUAUACUCGCCUGUUUAACAAAAACAUGUCUUUUUGAAAUUUAUUUAAAGUCGGGCCUGCCCACUGAAUACAUUAAAUGGCCGCGGUAUCUUGACCGUGCAAAGGUAGCAUAAUCAUUAGUCUUUUAAUUGAAGGCUGGAAUGAAUGGUUUGACGAAGUAUAAGCUGUCUCUGUAUAAUAAAUGGAAUUUGUCUUUUUAGUUAAAAGACUUAAAUAAAAAUAAGGGACGAGAAGACCCUAUAGAGCUUUAAUAUAAUUAUAUAAUAUGAAUUUUUUUAGAUGUUUUAUAGUUUAUUAUAUAUUUAUAUUGUGUUGGGGUGACAUAAAGAUAAAAUUAACUCUUUAUAUUUAUUAACAUAGAUUUAUGAAUACUUGAUCCAGUACUACUGAUUGAAAGAUAAAGUUACCUUAGGGAUAACAGCGUAAUCCUUCUUGAGAGUUCAUAUCGAAAGAGGGGGUUGCGACCUCGAUGUUGGACUAAGAAAAUGAUUAAAUGCAGCAGUUUAAUUAAUAGGUCUGUUCGACCUUUAAAUUCUUACAUGAUCUGAGUUCAGACCGGCGUGAGCCAGGUCGGUUUCUAUCUUUAUUAAGAGAAAAUAUUUUAGUACGAAAGGACCAAAUAUAAGAAAUAAUUUUUAAUGUGGAAUGUCAAUAAAUUGU
rnacentral:rRNA from 1 species